rnacentral:rRNA from 1 species
GAGUUUGAUCCUGGCUCAGAACGAACGCUGGCGGCGUGCCUGAGACAUGCAAGUCGUGGGAGAAAGUCGGGGCAACUCGGCGAGUACACCGGCGCACGGGUGAGUAACACGUGGACAACCUGCCCUUGAGUCCGGGAUAACCCGUCGAAAGACGGGCUAAUACCAGAUAAGACCACGCGGAGUUCGCUUCGCGGGGUAAAAGGUGGCCUCUGCUCCUGCAAGCUAUUACUUGAGGAGGGGUCCGCGUCCUAUCAGCUAGUUGGUGAGGUGACGGCUCACCAAGGCAAAGACGGGUAGCUGGUCUGAGAGGAUGGUCAGCCACACUGGGACUGAGACACGGCCCAGAGUCCUACGGGAUGCAGCAGUCAGGAAUAUUGCGCAAUGGAGGAAACUCUGACGCAGCGACGCCGCGUGGGUGAUGAAGGCCUUCGGGUCGUAAAGCCCUGUCGGAGGGGAAGAAAAGUCCGUCGGCUAAUAUCCGGCGGACCUUUGACGGUACCCUCAAAGGAAGCACCGGCUAACUCCGUGCCAGCAGCCGCGGUAAGACGGAGGGUGCAAGCGUUGUUCGGAUUGACUGGGCGUAAAGGGCGUGUAGGCGGUUGGUCAAGUCCGAUGUGAAAGCCCGGAGCUCAGCUCCGGAAGUGCAUCGGAAACUAGCCAGCUGGAGCGCGAUAGAGGAGGGUGGAAUUCCUGGUGUGGCGGUGAAAUGCGUAGAUAUCAGGAGGAACACCGGCGGCGAAGGC